UCCUAGUGGAGACUGGGAGCCGGUUUCGGGUCUGUAGUUUUCUGUUAGGUCCGCGCUGGGGAACCCUCCAAAGGUUAGGGCUUUCUGUAGCCGGGAGAUGGCAGAGGAAAGGGGGCUCGUGAGGCGGCUUCUCGGCCUCCCCCCACGUCCUCCCGCAGACGCUCCCGGGCUCUGAAAUCUUGGGACUCAGUCCUCUCCCAGGGCUCGCACCGUUAGCCUUUGGCCAGCCAUCUAAAGAACAGCUAGAUGGUAAAGUCGGAAGUCGGUGUGAUCGCUGUUUCUCCUCUUCUGUCGCUUCUCAGGAAAGCUGCACCCUGCUCUCUCCGUCUGAAUCUGGGCCUUGAGGGCUUCUGUGGACCAACUGGGAACCUGCUUAGGGGUCAUCUAGUCAGACACUGGGCAACCUGGAGCCAGGAGUGGACCCAGUCGGGUGUCCAGAUCUUCACGCUUUUGUGUCUGGUCCUUCUGGUGCCAACUAUAUGUCCAAGAAACAUCAGAGCUAUGCUGUUACCCUUACAAUCCUUCACUCCUUAGCCACGUUCCGUCUUCAGACCCUGAGGUGGUGGCACCUUACACUUAGGCCUUUUAAAGCAAAAAUGCUGUUUGGGUGCCAGUGAUGUCAGUGUGGACCUCUGCAGCAGUCUAAGCCCUCAGCCUUGUGGAAUGGAAAGACUGAUGGGCUGGCUCUUUGGAUCUUUGCCUGUGGCAGACUUCUUUAGAAAAAAUCUUGAUCAAUUAAGAUUUUAAGUGAUCAAAUGGAGAUGAAAUAAAUUGUGUCUACAGAGCACAAGCAGGAGACUUAAUGUGGCUGGUGGUAAUAAAAAAGUUGUUCACAAGGU